rnacentral:rRNA from 1 species
CCCUUAGAUGUUCUGGGCCGCACGCGCGCUACACUGUUCGACGCAGCGAGUCUUAACCUUGACCGAAAGGUUUGGGUAAUCUUCAGCAAAGUCGAACGUGAUGGGGACCGAUCAUUGCAAUUAUUGAUCGUGAACGAGGAAUUCCUAGUAAGUGCAAGUCAUCAGCUUGCGCUGAUUACGUCCCUGCCCUUUGUACACACCGCCCGUCGCUACUACCGAUUGAAUGGUUUAGUGAGAUCUCUGGAUUGACGCUGGCUAGGGGGCGACCCUUGGCCAGGCUGUCGAGAAACUGCUCAAACUUGAUCAUUUAGAGGAAGUAAAAGUCGUAACA